UACGUAGGGGGCAAGCGUUGUCCGGAAUUAUUGGGCGUAAAGAGCUUGUAGGCGGCCUGUCGCGUCUGCUGUGAAAAUCCGGGGCUCAACCGUGUGGCUUGCAGUCGAUACGGGCAGGCUAGAGUUCGGUAGGGGAGACUGGAAUUCCUGGUGUAGCGGUGAAAUGCGCAGAUAUCAGGAGGAACACCGGUGGCGAAGGCGGGUCUCUGGGCCGAUACUGACACUGAGGAGCGAAAGCGUGGGGAGCGAACAGG
rnacentral:rRNA from 1 species